CCCUGGUUAGCUCAGUUGGUAGAGCGCUCCACUUCUAAUGGAGAGGUCCCGGGUUCAAUACCCGGACCAGGCG
rnacentral:tRNA from 1 species